rnacentral:rRNA from 1 species
UACAGAGGUCUCAAGCGUUGUUCGGAUUCAUUGGGCGUAAAGGGUGCGUAGGUGGCGGGGCAAGUCAGGUGUGAAAUCUCGGAGCUCAACCCCGAAACUGCACUUGAUACUGCCUUGCUCGAGUACUGGAGAGGAGACUGGAAUUUACGGUGUAGCAGUGAAAUGCGUAGAUAUCGUAAGGAAGACCAGUGGCGAAGGCGAGUCUCUGGACAGUUCCUGACGCUGAGGCACGAAGGUCAGGGGAGCAAACGGG